rfam:Brassica oleracea var. oleracea cultivar TO1000 chromosome C2, whole genome shotgun sequence
GAAAUAUAAGAACCCGUCUCUUAACUUUUAACUAAAAAAACUAAGAAUCAGUUCUUAAAUAAGAUAUUUAAGAACCAAUUCUUAGUUUUUUUACUUAAAAGUUAAGAGACAGGUUCUUUC